ensembl:snoRNA
CUUUCUGUAUUUGUUCAAUGGGUGGAAAAAGGCAUGAAGGACAGAUGGAAAAAUAAAUCCUCUUUUGCAACCCAGAACUCCCUGUUCAGUACGAGUCUUGAUACAUACAAGAAGGAACACG